CCCUUAGAUGCUCUGGGCCGCACGCGCGCUACACUGGUCGAUGCUACGAGUUUCUUUCCUUGGCCGACAGGCCUGGGCAAUCUUUGAACAUCGAUCGUGAUCGGGAUAGAUUCUUGUAAUUUUUGAUCUUAAACGAGGAAUUCCUAGUAAACGCAAGUCAUCAGCUUGCAUUGAUUACGUCCCUGCCCUUUGUACACACCGCCCGUCGCACCUACCGAUUGAAUGGUCCGGUGAAAUCUCCGGACUGGCGUGAGUCGGAGCAAUCUGACAAACACCGGAAAGUUGAUUAAACCUUACCAUUUAGAGGAAGGUGAAGUCGUAACA
rnacentral:rRNA from 1 species